rnacentral:tRNA from 1 species
UCCCAGGAGGACUAGUGGUUAGGCCACAGCGCUCUCACGGCUGUUGCCCGGGUUCGAUUCCGGGUCAGGGAA